rnacentral:rRNA from 1 species
AUCAGCAGGCAUAUCACCCUGUGACUCACAAUUUGCAGCCCACUAAAACUAAGCAGGUGUGAGCCUGGUCAGUACCUGGAUGGGAGACCUCCUGGGAAAAACUAAGGUUGCUGCUGGAA